UCUUAGCUGCUGAGCAUGCGUUUAUUAUGUGACAAACAAUUUAGUUUUAACUGGUUAGAUUUAAGAGAGUUGACCAACUCGGCAGUAAAUAAAUUGUUGUAAAAGUUAAAAUAAAGCUGAAUUAUAGUACAAGUGGUAUGGAAAUUUAGAAAAGCAACUGCAGGUUUCCCAUGAAUCACUGAACAAACUUGGCUGUACACUGAUUACUUCUAACAAGCAUGUUAGUGCUCUUCUGUUACUUGAGUUAUUGUAAAUUGUAAUAUCCGUAUAUUAUCAUAUUAUUUCUCUAUGCUUAUUGUAACCACUAAAUUUAAAAGGGUUCCAAUGCAGGGGAAAGUUAGGUCACUCUUUCAAAACGGUCAACAUGAACGUUUCAAGAUCCUGUGUGAACGCUAGAAAAGAGACAAGACGUUGUCAAGCUACACCGAUAGAGGUCCACUGCAUCAGCCAGAGAAAAAUGGUCCCUUCCACGGAUGUUGCUGCCGUCCACUACCAAUCAGCCCGUUCUCUUUACCAGAUAGUUGUGCAACGGGCAGUUAUCUUUACUAAUAUUAGACCGCUCAUGUUAAACAAACAAUGUAACAUUGUCCUCUGAACAUUAGCUGCACCAGUGAUUACUCUAUGGAGCCAUUUCCAUAGUGACAAUCUAUCGCUCAUUGCGCUAUUGGUAACACUCUAUGGAUAGUAAUCAGAAUAACCGUAUGCUGUUGAAGCCAGUAGUUCCUACCAAUGUUAAAUUCCCUAAUAUAAAUUAUUUGUGUCGUGUUA